CCUACCGGAAGCAGCAGUGGGGAAUAAUGGACCAUGGGGGCAAACCUGAUUCCGCAAUGGCCCGGGGGGGAAAAAAGGCUGAAGGGUGGAAAGCACUUUCCUUGGGGAAGAAGAAUGGUAGGGUAAAAACUGAAUGAUUGGACCUUACCCCAAAAAAAAACCCCCGCUAACUUCCUGGCCGCAACCCCGGGAAUACCAAAGGGGGUAGCGUUGCUCCGAAUCCCUGGGCGUAAAGGGUGGGUAAGCGGGUCUUUUAGUCCGGGGGGAAAUCCUGGAACUCAACUCCCGAACUGGCUUUGAAACUGAAAAACUUGAAUUCCGGAAAAGGGAAUGGAACUGCCAAUGGAGAAGUGAAAUUCCUAAAAUUUCCGAAGAACCCCCAGGGCCAAAGGCGGUCACUGGCCCCAUACUGACGCUCAAGGGCGACAGCGUGGGGAUCAAACCGGAAUAAAUACCCUGGUAGCCCACGCCCUAAACCAAGGAUGCUAACCGGUGGGCAGCUUGCUGGUCAGGGGCGCAGGUAACGGAUUAAGGAUUCCCCCUGGGGAGGAAGGCCGCAAGGUUGGAACUUCAAAGGAUUGACCG
rnacentral:rRNA from 1 species